rnacentral:rRNA from 1 species
UGUUUCGGCAAGGGGGUCAUCCCGACUUACCAACCCGAUGCAAACUGCGAAUACCGGAGAAUGUUAUCACGGGAGACACACGGCGGGUGCUAACGUCCGUCGUGAAGAGGGAAACAACCCAGACCGCCAGCUAAGGUCCCAAAGUCAUGGUUAAGUGGGAAACGAUGUGGGAAGGCCCAGACAGCCAGGAUGUUGGCUUAGAAGCAGCCAUCAUUUAAAGAAAGCGUAAUAGCUCACUGGUCGAGUCGGCCUGCGCGGAAGAUGUAACGGGGCUAAACCAUGCACCGAAGCUGCGGCAGCGACGCUUAUGCGUUGUUGGGUAGGGGAGCGUUCUGUAAGCCUGCGAAGGUGUACUGUGAGGUAUGCUGGAGGUAUCAGAAGUGCGAAUGCUGACAUAAGUAACGAUAAAGCGGGUGAAAAGCCCGCUCGCCGGAAGACCAAGGGUUCCUGUCCAACGUUAAUCGGGGCAGGGUGAGUCGACCCCUAAGGCGAGGCCGAAAGGCGUAGUCGAUGGGAAACAGGUUAAUAUUCCUGUACUUGGUGUUACUGCGAAGGGGGGACGGAGAAGGCUAUGUUGGCCGGGCGACGGUUGUCCCGGUUUAAGCGUGUAGGCUGAUUUUCCAGGUAAAUCCGGAAAAUCAAGGCUGAGGCGUGAUGACGAGGCACUACGGUGCUGAAGCAACAAAUGCCCUGCUUCCAGGAAAAGCCUCUAAGCAUCAGGUAACAUCAAAUCGUACCCCAAACCGACACAGGUGGUCAGGUAGAGAAUACCAAGGCGCUUGAGAGAACUCGGGUGAAGGAACUAGGCAAAAUGGUGCCGUAACUUCGGGAGAAGGCACGCUGAUACGUAGGUGAAGUCCCUUGCGGAUGGAGCUGAAAUCAGUCGAAGAUACCAGCUGGCUGCAACUGUUUAUUAAAAACACAGCACUGUGCAAACACGAAAGUGGACGUAUACGGUGUGACGCCUGCCCGGUGCCGGAAGGUUAAUUGAUGGGGUUAGCGGUAACGCGAAGCUCUUGAUCGAAGCCCCGGUAAACGGCGGCCGUAACUAUAACGGUCCUAAGGUAGCGAAAUUCCUUGUCGGGUAAGUUCCGACCUGCACGAAUGGCGUAAUGAUGGCCAGGCUGUCUCCACCCGAGACUCAGUGAAAUUGAACUCGCUGUGAAGAUGCAGUGUACCCGCGGCAAGACGGAAAGACCCCGUGAACCUUUACUAUAGCUUGACACUGAACAUUGAGCCUUGAUGUGUAGGAUAGGUGGGAGGCUUUGAAGUGUGGACGCCAGUCUGCAUGGAGCCGACCUUGAAAUACCACCCUUUAAUGUUUGAUGUUCUAACGUUGGCCCCUAAUCGGGGUUGCGGACAGUGUCUGGUGGGUAGUUUGACUGGGGCGGUCUCCUCCUAAAGAGUAACGGAGGAGCACGAAGGUUGGCUAAUCCUGGUCGGACAUCAGGAGGUUAGUGCAAUGGCAUAAGCCAGCUUGACUGCGAGCGUGACGGCGCGAGCAGGUGCGAAAGCAGGUCAUAGUGAUCCGGUGGUUCUGAAUGGAAGGGCCAUCGCUCAACGGAUAAAAGGUACUCCGGGGAUAACAGGCUGAUACCGCCCAAGAGUUCAUAUCGACGGCGGUGUUUGGCACCUCGAUGUCGGCUCAUCACAUCCUGGGGCUGAAGUAGGUCCCAAGGGUAUGGCUGUUCGCCAUUUAAAGUGGUACGCGAGCUGGGUUUAGAACGUCGUGAGACAGUUCGGUCCCUAUCUGCCGUGGGCGCUGGAGAACUGAGGGGGGCUGCUCCUAGUACGAGAGGACCGGAGUGGACGCAUCACUGGUGUUCGGGUUGUCAUGCCAAUGGCACUGCCCGGUAGCUAAAUGCGGAAGAGAUAAGUGCUGAAAGCAUCUAAGCACGAAACUUGCCCCGAGAUGAGUUCUCCCUGACUCCUUGAGAGUCCUGAAGGAACGUUGAAGACGACGACGUUGAUAGGCCGGGUGUGUAAGCGCAGCGAUGCGUUGAGCUAACCGGUACUAAUGAACCGUGAGGCUUAACCUU